rnacentral:rRNA from 1 species
GAUGAACGCUGGCGGCGUGCUUAACACAUGCAAGUCGAACGAAGCACUUAUCUUUGAUUCUUCGGAUGAAGAGAUUUGUGACUGAGUGGCGGACGGGUGAGUAACGCGUGGGUAACCUGCCUCAUACAGGGGGAUAACAGUUAGAAAUGACUGCUAAUACCGCAUAAGACCACAGAGCCGCAUGGCUCGGUGGGAAAAACUCCGGUGGUAUGAGAUGGACCCGCGUCUGAUUAGGUAGUUGGUGGGGUAACGGCCUACCAAGCCAACGAUCAGUAGCCGACCUGAGAGGGUGACCGGCCACAUUGGGACCGAGACACGGCCCAAACUCCUACGGGAGGCAGCAGUGGGGAAUAUUGCACAAUGGGGGAAACCCUGAUGCAGCGACGCCGCGUGAGCGAAGAAGUAUUUCGGUAUGUAAAGCUCUAUCAGCAGGGAAGAAAAUGACGGUACCUGACUAAGAAGCACCGGCUAAAUACGUGCCAGCAGCCGCGGUAAUACGUAUGGUGCAAGCGUUAUCCGGAUUUACUGGGUGUAAAGGGAGCGUAGACGGCUGUGUAAGUCUGAAGUGAAAGCCCGGGGCUCAACCCCGGGACUGCUUUGGAAACUAUGCAGCUAGAGUGUCGGAGAGGUAAGUGGAAUUCCCAGUGUAGCGGUGAAAUGCGUAGAUAUUGGGAGGAACACCAGUGGCGAAGGCGGCUUACUGGACGAUGACUGACGUUGAGGCUC